rnacentral:rRNA from 1 species
CCUACGGGUGGCUGCAGUGGGGAAUAUUGGACAAUGGGCGAAAGUCUGAUCCAGCCAUGCCGCGUGUGUGAAGAAGGCCUUCGGGUUGUAAAGCACUUUCAGUGGGGAAGAAAGCCUUGGGGCUAAUACCCUCGAGGAAGGACAUCACCCACAGAAGAAGCACCGGCUAACUCCGUGCCAGCAGCCGCGGUAAUACGGAGGGUGCGAGCGUUAAUCGGAAUUACUGGGCGUAAAGCGCGCGUAGGCGGUCUGAUAAGCCGGUUGUGAAAGCCCCGGGCUCAACCUGGGAACGGCAUCCGGAACUGUCAGGCUAGAGUGCAGGAGAGGAAGGUAGAAUUCCCGGUGUAGCGGUGAAAUGCGUAGAGAUCGGGAGGAAUACCAGUGGCGAAGGCGGCCUUCUGGACUGACACUGACGCUGAGGUGCGAAAGCGUGGGUAGCAAACAGGAUUAGAUACCCUUGUAGUC